CAGCCGCCGCGGGAAUACGAAGGGGGCUAGCGUUGUUCGGAUUUACUGGGCGUAAAGCGCACGUAGGCGGAUCUUUAAGUCAGAGGUGAAAUCCCGGAGCUCAACUUCGGAACUGCCUUUGAUACUGGGGAUCUCGAGUUCGGGAGAGGUGAGUGGAACUGCGAGUGUAGAGGUGAAAUUCGUAGAUAUUCGCAAGAACACCAGUGGCGAAGGCGGCUCACUGGCCCGAUACUGACGCUGAGGUGCGAAAGCGUGGGGAGCAAACAGGAUUAGAUACCCGCGUAGUCCCUGUCUCUUAUAC
rnacentral:rRNA from 1 species